UGAGCUGGGUUUAAAACGUCGUGAGACAGUUUGGUCCCUAUCUUCCGUGGGCGCUGCAGAUUUGAGGAAGCCUGCUCCUAGUACGAGAGGACCGGAGUGGACACACCUCUGGUGUAUCGGUUGUCACGCCAGUGGCAUUGCCGAGUAGCUAUGUGCGGAAGAGAUAACCGCUGAAAGCAUCUAAGCGGGAAACUCGUUUCAAGAUGAGAUCUGCCGGGGCCUUGAGCCCCCUGAAGAGUCGUUCGAGACCAGGACGUUGAUAGGUCGGGUGUGGAAGCGCAGUAAUGCGUUAAGCUAACCGAUACUAAUUGCUCGUGCGGCUUGACCCU
rnacentral:ncRNA from 1 species